rnacentral:rRNA from 1 species
UACGUAGGGUGCAAGCGUUAAUCGGAAUUACUGGGCGUAAAGCGUGCGCAGGCGGUUCGGAAAGAAAGAUGUGAAAUCCCAGAGCUUAACUUUGGAACUGCAUUUUUAACUACCGAGCUAGAGUGUGUCAGAGGGAGGUGGAAUUCCGCGUGUAGCAGUGAAAUGCGUAGAUAUGCGGAGGAACACCGAUGGCGAAGGCACCUCCUGGGAUAACACUGACGGCUCAUGCACGAAAGCGUGGGGAGCAAACAGG